GAUGAACGCUGGCGGCGUGCCUAACACAUGCAAGUCGAACGGAAGCUUAACGCUGACGAGACUUCGGUCAAAUCUUGUUAAGCUUUAGUGGCGGACGGGUGAGUAACGCGUGGGCAACCUGCCUCAUACUGGGGGAUAACAGUUGGAAACGACUGUUAAUACCGCAUAAGCGCACAGAGUCGCAUGACUCAGUGUGAAAAACUCCGGUGGUAUGAGAUGGGCCCGCGUCAGAUUAGCUAGUUGGCGGGGUAACGGCCCACCAAGGCGACGAUCUGUAGCCGGACUGAGAGGUCGGACGGCCACAUUGGGACUGAGACACGGGCCAAACUCCUACGGGAGGCAGCAGUGGGGGAUAUUGCACAAUGGAGGAAACUCUGAUGCAGCGACGCCGCGUGAGUGAAGAAGUAUUUCGGUAUGUAAAGCUCUAUCAGCAGGGAAGAAAGGCUCGCAAGAGAGAUGACGGUACCUGACUAAGAAGCCCCGGCUAACUACGUGCCAGCAGCCGCGGUAAUACGUAGGGGGCAAGCGUUAUCCGGAUUUACUGGGUGUAAAGGGAGCGCAGACGGUCAAGCAAGUCUGAAGUGAAACCCCACGGCUCAACCGUGGGCUUGCUUUGGAAACUGUUUGACUAGAGUACUGGAGAGGUAAGCGGAAUUCCUAGUGUAGCGGUGAAAUGCGUAGAUAUUAGGAGGAACAUCGGUGGCGAAGGCGGUUUCC
rnacentral:rRNA from 1 species